rnacentral:rRNA from 1 species
AAAUUGAAGAGUUUGAUCAUGGCUCAGAUUGAACGCUGGCGGCAGGCCUAACACAUGCAAGUCGAGCGGUAGCACAGAGAGCUUGCUCUCGGGUGACGAGCGGCGGACGGGUGAGUAAUGUCUGGGAAACUGCCUGAUGGAGGGGGAUAACUACUGGAAACGGUAGCUAAUACCGCAUAAUGUCGCAAGACCAAAGUGGGGGACCUUCGGGCCUCAUGCCAUCAGAUGUGCCCAGAUGGGAUUAGCUAGUAGGUGGGGUAACGGCUCACCUAGGCGACGAUCCCUAGCUGGUCUGAGAGGAUGACCAGCCACACUGGAACUGAGACACGGUCCAGACUCCUACGGGAGGCA